rnacentral:rRNA from 1 species
UACGAAGGGGGCUAGCGUUGCUCGGAAUCACUGGGCGUAAAGGGUGCGUAGGCGGCUUUUUAAGUCAGAGGUGAAAUCCCGGGGCUCAACCCCGGAACUGCCUUUGAAACUGGAGAGCUAGAAUCUUGGAGAGGCGAGUGGAAUUCCGAGUGUAGAGGUGAAAUUCGUAGAUAUUCGGAAGAACACCAGUGGCGAAGGCGACUCGCUGGACAAGUAUUGACGCUGAGGUGCGAAAGCGUGGGGAGCAAACAGG